UUAGUCCCUAAAUUCAGUGCUUUGUUAGGGAGUAUGCUUUUGAACUGUUAAGAGACUUGUUAUACUACACAGAUACAAAAAGAAUUUUAGCUGAGGAUAAGCUCUAAAAGAUGAACGAAUAUAUUAGCUUAGCAUGAAUCUGAUCUUACCUUGUCUUGCAAAUAAGUGAUACAGAACCCACUGGAAUUUGUUGUUGUCUCAAUGCUGAAGAAGACAGGGCUCAAAAUGAUUCUAGUUAUUCCUGGUUGAAAGCACCCAGAAUAUGGCAUUGAUUUACAAGGAAUCCAUACAACUUAAGGAGUAUAUUCAGGCAUCCAACUGUGUAAUUAGUGCUGAACCAUCCUGUAUGGUUUUUCAUAUACAUGGAAGGCACUGUGUACUUGAGCAAAGGCUGAAACAAGAAAAGCUAAGAAGAGUGAAAUGCUAAGAGAAAAGAAGAGAAGAAUUCAGGAGGAUCUAUAAAAAGUUUAAAUUGGUAAAACAUGUAUGUGGGUGGGUAAA